CCUUCGUCCUCUCUACGACGGAUCGUCGGGCACGUUCCUGCCCGUGGAAAGGAUUUGGU
rfam:Propionibacterium acidifaciens F0233 ctg1127964738414, whole genome shotgun sequence.